CCUACGGGAGGCAGCAGUGGGGAAUAUUGGUCAAUGGACGCAAGUCUGAACCAGCCAUGCCGCGUGAAGGAUGAAGGCCUUCUGGGUUGUAAACUUCUUUUACCUGGGAAGAAACCUCAGUUUUCUAACUGAGUUGACGGUACCAGAGGAAUAAGCACCGGCUAACUCCGUGCCAGCAGCCGCGGUAAUACGGAGGGUGCAAGCGUUAUCCGGAUUUACUGGGUUUAAAGGGUGUGUAGGCGGGCUUUUAAGUCAGCGGUGAAAUCUCCGGGCUCAACCCGGAAACUGCCAUUGAUACUAUUAGCCUUGAAUUUUGUUGAGGUAGGCGGAAUAAGUCAUGUAGCGGUGAAAUGCAUAGAUAUGACUUAGAACACCAAUUGCGAAGGCAGCUUGCUAAACAAAUAUUGACGCUGAGGCACGAAAGCGUGGGGAUCAAACAGGAUUAGAUACCCUGGUAGUCCACGCCCUAAACGAUGAUUACUCGACAUACGCGAUACACAGUGUGUGUCUGAGCGAAAGCAUUAAGUAAUCCACCUGGGAAGUACGACCGCAAGGUUGAAACUUAAAUGAAUUGACGG
rnacentral:rRNA from 1 species